rnacentral:rRNA from 1 species
CAGAGGGCGCGAGCGUUGUCCGGAAUCACUGGGCGUAAAGGGCGCGUAGGUGGCCACUAUAAGGCUGUGGUGAAAGUUCGGGGCUCAACCCCGAAUCUGCCGCGGCGACUGUAGGGCUUGGGCACUGUAGAGGCAGAUGGAAUUCCGGGUGUAGCGGUGGAAUGCGUAGAGAUCCGGAAGAACACCAGUGGCGAAGGCGGUCUGCUGGGCAGUGGGAGCGCAAGCUCCUCUUAGCCGACACUGAGGCGCGACAGCGUGGGGAGCAAACAGGAUUAGAUACCCUGGUAGUCCACGCCGUAAACGAUGGGCACUAGGUGCUUUGGGGAGCGACCCCCGGGGUACCGGCGCUAACGCAUGAAGUGCCCCGCCUGGGGAGUACGGCCGCAAGGCUG